GAAAGAAGGUCAUGUGUUGGAAGAGUCGGCUGAAGUAUUGAACCACAGACUGUAAGUUGGAUAAUAAAGGAAAUAUAAGAGACUGGUGAGGAAAAAGAAAGGUAAUAGAAGGGGAAAUGAGGCUCCAAGAUAACCACGCUGAUUAAUGUCACCAACGCAGUAAAUCAUGGAGAAAGGACCUGGAUGUCUGAAAACAAAUUAUUUUACAAGUGGAAAAGUUAACAAAGAAUGUACAAUGUUUUCUGAAAAUGUGUAAUUCUCUUCAUCGUUUUGAACUGUGACUUCUGGAAAUCUGCUCACUGGUGAUGGAGAUAGUCACGGAAGUAUCACCCAUCAGGACACAGUAAGAUGCAGCCUCUUCUCCUCCCUGAUUACUCUCAUUUUGGACAAAAUAUGCCUACGAUAUGUAGCAAGACUAACAUAAUUUUCCUGUUAGAACUUCAAGAAUUAAGAUUCAGUGUUGCUAAUCCUUGAUUUGUUUUCUGCGAUACAGAAGACAGGCCCUGAGACUCUGGUGACUUGGUGGUAUAAAGUGAAGAGCACUGGACUGCAAAUAAGGAAUCCUGUACUCAGAACCCUGCAUCACAGAAUAGCCUUGCAAAUGAGCAAGCCCGUCUCCUUACCUUUA
rnacentral:lncRNA from 10 species